CGAGCGGACAGAAGGGAGCUUGCUCCCGGAUGUUAGCGGCGGACGGGUGAGUAACACGUGGGUAACCUGCCUGUAAGACUGGGAUAACUCCGGGAAACCGGAGCUAAUACCGGAUAGUUCCUUGAACCGCAUGGUUCAAGGAUGAAAGACGGUUUCGGCUGUCACUUACAGAUGGACCCGCGGCGCAUUAGCUAGUUGGUGAGGUAACGGCUCACCAAGGCGACGAUGCGUAGCCGACCUGAGAGGGUGAUCGGCCACACUGGGACUGAGACACGGCCCAGACUCCUACGGGAGGCAGCAGUAGGGAAUCUUCCGCAAUGGACGAAAGUCUGACGGAGCAACGCCGCGUGAGUGAUGAAGGUUUUCGGAUCGUAAAGCUCUGUUGUUAGGGAAGAACAAGUGCAAGAGUAACUGCUUGCACCUUGACGGUACCUAACCAGAAAGCCACGGCUAACUACGUGCCAGCAGCCGCGGUAAUACGUAGGUGGCAAGCGUUGUCCGGAAUUAUUGGGCGUAAAGGGCUCGCAGGCGGUUUCUUAAGUCUGAUGUGAAAGCCCCCGGCUCAACCGGGGAGGGUCAUUGGAAACUGGGAAACUUGAGUGCAGAAGAGGAGAGUGGAAUUCCACGUGUAGCGGUGAAAUGCGUAGAGAUGUGGAGGAACACCAGUGGCGAAGGCGACUCUCUGGUCUGUAACUGACGCUGAGGAGCGAAAGCGUGGGGAGCGAACAGGAUUA
rnacentral:rRNA from 1 species